rnacentral:rRNA from 1 species
UACGGAGGGAGCUAGCGUUGUUCGGAAUCACUGGGCGUAAAGCGCACGCAGGCGGAUCGUUAAGUCAGGGGUGAAAGCCCCCGGCUCAACUGGGGAGGGUCACGCGAUACUGGUCGACUCGAAGGCAGGAGAGGGUAGUGGAAUUCCCGGUGUAGUGGUGAAAUGCGUAGAUAUCGGGAGGAACACCAGUGGCGAAGGCGGGUCUCCGGGCCGACAUUGACGCUGAGGAGCGGAAGCGUGGGGAGCAAACAGG